rnacentral:tRNA from 2 species
AGGCGAUUAGCUCCAAUGGUAGAGCACCGGAUUCCAAAUCCGGGUGUUGUGGGUUCGAGUCCCCCAUCGCCUGCCA